CACCUGGUAGCACACGGUGUGCAUCUGCUGAUUACUUAUGUCGCUUCUUGAGUAAUGAUGUCAGCAGAAGGUCUCCUGUUCGAUCCGGGGUCGGGUGG